GCGGGAGACAGUUCGUUUGCUAUUUUCUUGCUGUUGUUACUGCGUUGGUGUGUUAUUAUAAUAUUGUGUAACUAGUUGUGUGCUUCCAUUGGAAUUCUAAACUCUUAGUUUUUAGAAAGCCAUAUGCUCGUUUCUUAGCUGCUUCAUUUGUUACUCCUUGUUUUCUGCAUCUUUUGUUUGUCAUUUGUAGUUUGCAAUUGAAUGUAAUCAACA
rnacentral:lncRNA from 1 species